AUUGAACGCUGGCGGCAGGCCUAACACAUGCAAGUCGAGCGGGAACUUCGGUUCUAGCGGUGGACGGGUGAGUAAUGCGUAGGAAGCUACCCGACAAAGGGGGAUACCAGUUGGAAACGACUGUUAAUACCGCAUAAUGUCUACGGACCAAAGUGUGGGACCUUCGGGCCACAUGCUGUCGGACGCGCCUACGUGGGAUUAGCUAGUUGGUGAGGUAAUGGCUCACCAAGGCGACGAUCCCUAGCUGGUUUGAGAGGAUGAUCAGCCACACUGGAACUGAGACACGGUCCAGACUCCUACGGGAGGCAGUAGUGGGGAAUAUUGGACAAUGGGCGCAAGCCUGAUCCAGCCAUGCCGCGUGUGUGAAGAAGGCCUCCGGGUUGUAAAGCACUUUCAGUAGGGAGGAAGGAUGUUGUGUUAAUAGCACAGCAUUUUGACGUUACCUACAGAAGAAGCACCGGCUAACUCUGUGCCAGCCGCCGCCGUAACAC
rnacentral:rRNA from 1 species